UUACAAUAAGAGUUUAUUACACUAUUUUGGACUACAUUGAAUUCCAUUAUUAUUAUUAUUAUUAUUAUUAUUAUUAUUAUUAUUUUAUUUUUUUUGUGAGCAGGGAAAGUUUUGGUUUCUCCAAUUGAGAGAUAUGCAGUUGUUCCUGAUGACAACGUCAAAAGGAUAAAUUUUGCCGAGGGGAAGAUCUGAUUCUAGAAGUAAGGAAUUUGCAGCUUGAUUUUUGAAAUAGGCUCAAAAUUGAGAUCUUGUUGGAAAUUUUUUAAUUUUUGUAAGAGCAUUUAAAUAUCCAAUGUGCUGAUUGGUGAAUUUUAGAUUUUAUUUUAUUAUUUUAUUUUUUU